rnacentral:rRNA from 1 species
GACGAACGCUGGCGGCGUGCCUAAUACAUGCCAGUAGAACGCACAGUUUAUACCGUAGCUUGCUACACCAUAGACUGUGAGUUGCGAACGGGUGAGUAACGCGUAGGUAACCUGCCUGGUAGCGGGGGAUAACUAUUGGAAACGAUAGCUAAUACCGCAUAAUAUUAAUUAUUGCAUGAUAAUUAAUUGAAAGGUGCAAUUGCACCACUACCAGAUGGACCUGCGUUGUAUUAGCUAGUAGGUGAGGUAACGGCUCACCUAGGCGACGAUACAUAGCCGACCUGGGAGGGUGAUCGGCCACACUGGGACUGAGACACGGCCCAGACUCCUACGGGAGGCAGCAGUAGGGAAUCUUCGGCAAUGGACGAAAGUCUGACCGAGCAACGCCGCGUGAGUGAAGAAGGUUUUCGGAUCGUAAAGCUCUGUUGUAAGAGAAGAACGGGUGUGAGAGUGGAAAGUUCACACUGUGACGGUAUCUUACCAGAAAGGGACGGCUAACUACGUG